GGAAGGGUAAAAAUAAUUUGUGGAGAUAAUUUGCAUACUUGAUUGUCUCGUCUUCCUGUUGCAACAACAGUUGUGUGACGUUUGUAUAGUCUAUAUGCGGGGAUGAUUCGCAUUUAAUACAUAUGAAAUGGAAAUAUUAAACUCCAAAAUUUUGUGCAGCAGUAGCAGGCGGGAAACGAAGUUGUGGUGCUAAUCUGGACGAGUCAGUAACCUCUGUCGCACAAAAAAAAUGUGUGUAUGAUUGUUGUGUCGUUGAUUACAUAUGGGAAUGAUUUGCUUUGAAUGUAUAUGAUAUCGGAAUAGUUAACGCUAUGAUAUUGUGCAACUAGCAGGCGGGAAACAGCGCCGUAGGCAAUCUGGACUAGUAACCAGUCCUCGUGUUCCUUGGCAAUGCUAGCAGCCGUCUCGCUAUGGAACAUGUGUACUUUUCCAUGAAAUGAGUUUUUGUAACUUGGGAUGUCUGCCAUAGCGUUACAUGCAACCCAGCAACAUCUCAUGACGGCAUAUAUGAAUAAUUGUUUGCAUGUAACGCUACGACGUGACAACACUCUAUCAUAAUUAAGCAAAAUGUACUGGUAUUCUUGACAGUAGUGUUUGCAUACGUCAAGGCUCUAGUUUCCCGCAAGAUGUUGCUCAAUGGCAUGGUGCUUAACCAAGCUAGCCAGAUGGACAUGUCGCUGAUUUAUAACUGAUGAAGUGGACUGUUCUGUUUGUGUUCCAGGAAUCUGCUCUACAGCUGAACAGCUAAUCAAAGUCAGUCAAAGAAAAACAAGUAAGAAGACAACAACAUCAUGGACCGUCGUCAGACCAGGCCAGCAGUUUGGAUCAUCGGGGACAGCUACAUCCGCCGGGCAUCUGAGAGGGCAAGGGUGAGUAUGGGUAAGAAUUUACACCUGCCGGCAGACAUAACCUGGUCUGGAGUUGGAGGCCUGCGAUGGGGGUCCUUCAAGUCACGGCUGGACUCCCUGUUGCGCUCUAGACCUGCCCCAGACAUGAUAGUCUUGCAUGUCGGAGGAAAUGACCUAGGACAAAUUCAAGGGACUAAAUUGGUCAACCAAAUGAAGCAGUACUUAGGCCAGAUGCAUGAGAGGUACCCCAACCUUAAGUUAGUGUUCUCAUGCAUCACAGAAAGGUGCGUGUGGAGGUGUGGGCGCCCCUCCAGAAUUAAUCGUACACGUGCCUUUCUAAACAAUGUCAUGUCCGCAUUUGUGGGGUCAUUAGGGGGAGUAGCAAUUCGGCACCCCGAAAUUAAACACAAUUGGCCGGGGAUGUUCUUAGCUGAUGGGGUCCACUUGACGGACCUCGGACAUGACAUUUUCCUGAGAAACCUCCAGGGGGGCAUUAGAAGGGCGCUGUGUGUGACUCAGUAAAUUAAAGCGUGCCUCUUAUUACUAUAUAUAUAUAUAAUGCCGUUGGUCUUGCCGCCUAUUUGUUGUCACGUAGCAAUUACAAACUGUGGUUUUAAAUUGGAAGUAGUGAUUCUUGGUUUUUUUUCUUGGCUGUGGUGGGAGUGAGUGAACUCCCACCACAGCCUUCCGCAGGUUUGUCUACACUACUUGCCUGUCAUCAUUCAAAGUAAGUCUUCUCCAUUACCAAGUAUUUGUUGGCAAUGCAGUUUUUUUUUUAUUAUUAUUAUUAUUAUUAUCAUGACAAGGACCUACACCACUAAUACUUGUCUUUCUCUGGUGGUGGUGGGAGUGCUGGAAAGGGGGAUUCUCCUUCCUAAUCUCCCACCACCACUUUUGUCAGGGGCCACUGCGGUCACCCACAAACAUCUGAGGAGGAGCCGCCACCAUUGUCACCACCUGGACCAAGGACCCUGUGCUGCGGUCACCCACACACAUCUGAGGAGGAGGCGCCACCAUUGUCACCACCUGGACCAAGGACCUGUGCUGCGGUCACCCACACACAUCUGAGGAGGAGGCGCCACCAAGCUCAAGAUGUGUAGUCAUCCACACCUGAGAAGGGGCCCAGCACCUCCUAGGAUCUGCUCUCCACAACUAUCUUCACACCACUUCAUUGUUUUAACAAGCUUAAUAAAUGAUAAAAUAUGACUGCCCAUA